AAUCAGACUACGCUGCAUGAGAACAACUAACCUCCUCUAAAAGACCCUCACCACGCUAUUUUUUACCUCGUGGAAUCCAGGAGCUGACUAUGUUGGCUUGGCUGUACAUAGGAGGAAGACCCUGAUCCCUAGUGCUCAACACAAAAACGCUUCAAUAAUCCCCUGAGAUUGUUUUACCUUGCAACACUCUCUGGAAAAUUGUUGUUCCAGGAAUGUAAUGAAAAGAUCUGUAAGAGAGUACAGCCCCUGUUGAUUGACUUGUCUUGAUCAAACCAGAGCUUCUGGCUGGGAUACUGGUAUCUCGAGUGAGUCAUGGCAGGAGAUACAUGCUGGAGCUGAGGACGUAGUAGAGACAGCACAAAAGGUAGGAGACAGCAAGAGGAGAGCAGCCUACAGAUGACAAGACAGGUAAUUUACCCUGAAGUUCUGGGACUGCUGUAGGUCACAGGAAAAAUCCUUCUGAGAGAUUUUGAUUUUAGGUUUUGAUUGUACUUCUGUUUCUAUGAAUGAUAG